rnacentral:sRNA from 1 species
AUUUUUAGUAGAGAUGGGGUUUCACUGUGUUGGCCAGGCUAGUCUUGAACUCCUGACCUCGUGAUCCGCCCACCUUGGCCUCCCAAAGUGCUGGGAUUACAAGCGUGAGCCACCAUGCCCGGACUAGUUUUGUUAUUUUUAUGCAGCUACAGGGAGGAAAAUGAUACAUACCUUUCAUUACUGAAGAUGGAAAGAUGUGUAAGUUAGAUAAGAGAAAAACAGAUCCUGAUGACCUUCCUUCCAACAUAAACCACCUGUCAGAAGACGGUGCAGGGAGACUCAGGCUACAGGGAAGGUAUCUGUCAGCCUCUCCUCUGACUAAAACUCCCCUAGGAGGGGCAGAGGUCAGUGUAAAAUGUGUAUUUUUUGAGACAGUCUCACACUGUCACCCAGGCGGGAGUACAGUGGUGCGAUCUCAGCUCACUGCAACCUCUGCCUCAGCCUCCCCAGAAGCUGGGAUUAUAGGGCGUGCACCACCAUGCCUGGCUAAUUUUUGUAUUUUUGGUAGAGAUUGGGUUUCACCACGUUGGCCAGGUUGGUCUCAAACUCCUGACCUCAAAUGAUCUGCCCGCCUUAGCCUCCCAAGGUGCUGUGAUUAUAGGUGUGCGCCACCGUGCCCGGCCAUAGUGUAAAAUCUUUAUCCUUCAAUGUGGUUUAUCCCAAUUCCAGUUAUACAUUAGGUCUAAAACAAAACUCAGGCCUUGGGAAUUCCAAGCUUUGCCCUGGCGUGAAGCCCAUUCCUUUGCUGGGAUUGUCCUGGGGACAGAAGCUGCAUAGCUCACUGUCCUGUGGAGUUGAGGGAAGCUAUCUUUCCACACUGGUCUCAGCAAGGGGUGCAGGGCCAGGAGCCUAGGCUGGGAAAGCGAAGCUGGGCCAGAUAGACUCCAACAGUGACAGGCCCUGGGCUCACAGGAGGUGGCUGGCAGGACCAAGUAGGUGGCCUAAUGCCUGGCAUCAAGGUGGGGCGCUCCCGGGCUCAGCUGCCACUGAAGGUGGAGGUAGAAGAGGUCACGGUGCCUGAGGGCUUUGUCCAGAAGCUCAAUGACCACCUGCUGUUGGUGUACACUGGCAAGACCCGCCUGGCUCGGAAUCUGCUGCAGGAUGUGCUGAGGAGCUGGUAUGCCCGACUUCCUGCUGUGGUGCAGAAUGCCCGCAGCCUGGUGCGGCAAACUGAGGAGUGCGCUGAAGGCUUCCGCCAAGGUGAGGGGCUUCCUCCGGAGGGGUCAGGGCACUGGGAGCGAGUAUCCUGUCACUUGUGGGUUUGAGGCCAGGGUCAUCUGCAGGCUUGGCACAAACUCCAGAUAUUCGGCCUCUGGGAACAGAAACCUACUCUGUCCUCUCCAGGGUCUCACAUUUAGGGGAAAGCCACAUCUGAGGACAAAAUUUUCAUCAUGGGAAAGGCCCUCCAGCCCUACCUAACAGGAAGCAGAGAGGGGAAGGGACUCAACCCGUGGCUGAGUUCCAGGGAAGUCUGAGCUGGGCAGGGCCCCCAGUGUGUGGCUUCACAGCUCCCUAGACGCUGACUGUGCUGGGUGUGGUGUUGGUUGCUUCCUGCACAUUGGUCCUCAGGCAGUCCUGGGAAGUGGGCUUGUUACUCCCGGCUCCAGCCGGCACUGGAAUCCGGCUUCUUUACCAUGACACUGGCUCAACAGCACGUCCUGGCACUUCAUGCAAUCUCCAGAUGGGCGCUGAGUAUCUUGGCCCAGGCACAUCACUCCCCUCUGCCCCACCUCAGGAAGCCUGCCUCUGCUGGGCCAGUGCCUGACCUCAUACUGGGAGCAGAAGAAGCUCAUGGCUCCAGGCUGUGAGCCCCUGGCUGUGCGGCGUAUGAUGGAUGUCCUGGCCCCCUACGUGCAUGGCCAGAGCCUGGCUGGGGCAGGCGGUGGAGGCUUUCUCUAUCUGUUGACCAAGGAGCCACAGCAAAAAGAGGCCUUGGAGGCGGUGCUGGCCAAGACCGAGGGCCUUGGGAAUUACAGCAUCCACCUGGUUGAAGUGGACACUCAGGGCCUGAGCCUGAAGCUGCUGGGGACCGAGGCCUCAACCUGUUGCCCUUUCCCAUGAAGCUGGCUUCUCUCUGCAACAGGAGAAAACCUGGAGCUACAGUGUCCCCCAUCUUCCUUGCCCCAUAGGAACCUCCACCUCCUACUCCCCACCCACCUCUGCGAAUCUGCUCUCAAAGGAAGCUGACCAGAGCAAGACCUGGGCAAGCAGAGAGUGCCUGGGACAGGACUGUGACCUGGUGGACAGUGGCCUAGGUGUAGCCUCUGUUCCUCCUGGAGGUAGGAAGGUCCCAAGCUUAGUAUCCCAUGUGGCCUUUACAAAUCCUAUGGCUGGCCUUCUCAUUCCACGAGGGCCCUGGAAAGGGUUGACAGCCAGCCUUGGCAUAUGGCUGGGAGUCCCUUGGCAAGGCCAACCCUGAAGAGGCCCUUCGAGGCAUUCCUUAUGGCCUUCCUUAGAGUUGUAGACUUCACGCUCAAGCCUCAUGGGAGUGUGGGAGUGAGGGUGGCGGUCCCUUGCCAAGUUGGUGGCAGUGACCCAGCGAUUCACUGCCAUCCCAGGCCUUAACCAGCAAAACUAUGGACCGUGCCAAGUGACCUGGUGCCUGUGGGAAGUGGGUUCUCAGGACUGGCAUUCUUGGAAUAAAUUCGCUCUGUCCUUGCA